rnacentral:tRNA from 1 species
CAAGAGGUAGUUUAAAUAAAAUAUUAAUUUUGGAGAUUAAUGAUAAAGUGAUACUUUCUUCUUGA